rnacentral:misc_RNA from 1 species
UAAAUUUCCCCUAAUUUCAUGUUUUGCUGCCUUCAAAUGAUUAUGUGGAUGUAAAUGGAUCUUUUCUUUUUCGAAUUUAAUGGUUGUUUGGUGGUGCAUAUAGCUUUGGGGACCAUUUGUUGUUUUGGAGAAGAGUUUGGCUGUGGUUUAACCAUAAAAAAUGUUGUAGAACUAUGAACACAGCUAUAUAUGGGUUGUUUAGUAGUAGAUCAUUCCUGAAAUUCGGUGAGAGGGGAAUUUGUAGAAUUUUGAUUGCAAAAAUCAG